CAACAAUCUUUUGAGUUUGGGAUCUUGCCCACAAGGGGGUGCAUCUUCCUAACACAUUCAUAUUUCCUGCUCACUCUCAUCCCUUCAGUGUGACCUUAAUCUUUCCUCACACUAAGAAGACAAGACCCAAGGACACCAGAGGGUCUAAAAAUGAACUCUUUUCCAGGACCAGCUAUUGCACUAUUCUUAAUGUUUGGGGAAAUCAAUGGAGAUUCAGUGGUCCAGACAGAAGGUCAAGUCCUCCUUUCUGAAGGGGAUUCCCUGAUUGUGAACUGCUCCUAUGAAAGCACACAGUACCCUUCCCUUUUCUGGUAUGUCCAAUAUCCUGGAGAAGGUCCACAGCUCCUCCUGAAAGCCAUGAUGGCCAAUGACAAGGAAAGCAACAAAGGUUUUGAAGCCACAUACCAUAAAGAAACCACUUCUUUCCACUUGAAGAAAGACUCAGUUCAAGAGUCAGACUCAGCGGUGUACUUCUGUGCUCUGAGUGACACAGUGACAGGGACUGCAGGGGAAGCUAAGCACAAACUCUGAGCGGAAUGAGGAACCUGGCUGCUGAGUGUUAGCCACUGUGAUCGACUCUGGUUAGGGACCAGGAGCUACUCUACUCUUGUUGAUGCCCACCACUCACCCCAGGCACUCUUAGUGUGAAAGCCAUCCAAAUAAAUGCUAAAACACGAUAGAAUAACUAAAAGUAAAAAUGCCUCACACCAGAUACUUUAACAGUGAGAAUGAAAACAGAAUGUCACCAAAGUUCUUCAACCUUGUUUGAAAUUUGUGAUUUAAAAAGUAUAAAACCUCAAGAUAAAUGAAAUGGUCUAGCUGUUUAUCCCUGUAUAAAAUGUAGUCUCCUGACCUUGUCUCAGGCCAUCCAAAGAAAUAGUAAUGUUUACAGACACAGAUGUGACAGAUGAAGUUGCAAAUGCUUAAUAUAUACCUGAAUGGGUAUACAUUCAGCUGGGGCAAGUUGGGGUGAUUUCUUAGGAAAACUUCUGCCCAACAAAUAAUAGGUUCUUAAAGAAAAAAAAAGAAUUAUAAAUGGAAGAAGUCAAAUUUUCCUUGU